rnacentral:rRNA from 1 species
GCUUAGUACGGCGAGUGAAGCGGCAAAAGCUCAAAUUUGAAAUCUGGUACCUUCGGUGCCCGAGUUGUAAUUUGGAGAGGGCAACUUUGGGGCCGUUCCUUGUCUAUGUUCCUUGGAACAGGACGUCAUAGAGGGUGAGAAUCCCGUGUGGCGAGGAGUGCGGUUCUUUGUAAAGUGCCUUCGAAGAGUCGAGUUGUUUGGGAAUGCAGCUCUAAGUGGGUGGUAAAUUCCAUCUAAAGCUAAAUAUUGGCGAGAGACCGAUAGCGAACAAGUACAGUGAUGGAAAGAUGAAAAGAACUUUGAAAAGAGAGUGAAAAAGUACGUGAAAUUGUUGAAAGGGAAGGGCAUUUGAUCAGACAUGGUGUUUUGUGCCCUCUGCUCCUUGUGGGUAGGGGAAUCUCGCAUUUCACUGGGCCAGCAUCAGUUUUGGUGGCAGGAUAAAUCCAUAGGAAUGUAGCUUGCCUCGGUAAGUAUUAUAGCCUGUGGGAAUACUGCCAGCUGGGACUGAGGACUGCGACGUAAGUCAAGGAUGCUGGCAUAAUGGUUAUAUGCCGCCCGUCUUGAAACACGGACCAAUUU